CAAGUCAGCAAGCAGCAAUUCUAUUGAGUAUGCAAUGCGUGUCCAAAUGAUCCCACCCGUUAGAAAUUUUUGAAAGUCCCUCUCUUCUCUCUCUCCAUUACUUCUUCGUUUGUUGUCCCCGUUACUAAGAAAGAAAAGGUGUCGCUGCUCUCUCUCUCUCUCUCUCUCUCUCUCUCUCUCCCUCCCUCUUCGCGAGUUCACUCCUCUUUUAAUUUUCUUAGAAUUACGUCUCUCCCCCAGAAUCGCAACAAGUUCACUCAAAGAAACUCCUUGAAAUUCCUGAGAAAAUGAGAAGAGGAAGUGAACUUGUAGCGAUUCUAGGGUAGAGAUGACAUUUUGAGAAAAUUGAAAGAGGGAGUAAACUCGUGAAGAGAGAGAGAGAGAGAGCAAAGACACGUUUUCUCAUUUUUUGGGAGUGAACUCGUGAAGGAAGAGAGAGAGAGAGCAUAAAUAUCUUCUUUUUUCUCAAUAAUAGGGACGGUAAACGGAGAUAACGGAGAGAGAGAAGAGAGGGACUUUCAAAAAAAAUUGACGAGUAGGACCGUCCGGACACGUGUCUUACGUUGAAUGGAGUGAUUGUUCGCUGACAUGACAAGACAGUCUCACCUAAUAUUUUCUCCACAGUGCGCCUACAAUUUUGAACUCAGAAGUUGCAACGGCCACACACGUGAGUCUCGUAAUGUACUUGUCAAGGGCGAUCCUCAGAUUCGUCAGAACGGUGAAGGUAGGGAUGAAACGAGGCUCGCCACAACAGACAGCCAGUCCAGCCAUUGCUCAGAGUUGCCAGAGAACCCCUAUGCAGAGGAGUCUCGCACAGAAACAACAUUAAGCUUUGUGAGAGAAAGGUUAGGGUUCUUCAAAGAGGGGCUGGCGGUGGUGACGGCGAACAGCCGACAGGCAGUGGUGUGGUGGUGAUAAGAGUGUCUUUAUCUCGCCCUCAUUGCCUGCAUUUUUUCUCUUCUAAGCAGAGUAUAUAUAAGUUCCAGAAGCAGCUAUGACGAAAACCCCCACAUAAACGCAAAUUGUUGCAGCGGCGACAUAAAGGCACAGCACUGAAAGAAUGAAGCAUGCUGGCAUAGAUCUGCACAAGAAGCAAAAGCACUGGCAACGAAUUCGUUGGCUGUUGGAGCAAAAGUUGAAGGAGACACCAACAUAAUAUGUAUGCCCAC